CCAUCUCUCCCUCUCAUCUCUCUGUCUCAUCCUGCCCUCAGUGCUCAGUGAAGUGCACAGUGUCUGCCAACACAACAGGUGUGAGGUGGUCCCACAAGGCCUGUGUUUCACACAGCCAGCCACUAACGCCUCCAGCCUCAAAUCCUGCUGUCAGACCCCCAAUAUAGACACACACACACGUACACCAAUCAGGGAUUCCUGUAACUCCAUAUAUCUGGUGGGAAGUGGACACACACAGCUAAAUGUGAACAGAAAUGCCCAAAUGAAGGUGUCAGGGCUGAGGUAUGCUAGCAAGCAAACAUGAACGAUCUGCUGGGGAUAAGAGACUCAGCGGGCCAGACCCAGGAUCUAAACCCAGACCCAGGAUCCAAAACCCAGACCCAGGAUCUAAACCCAGACCCAGGAUCUAAACCCAGACCCAGGAUCCAAAACCCAGACCCAGGAUCCAAAACCCAGACCCAGGAUCUAAACCCAGACCCAGGAUCCAAAACCCAGACCCAGGAUCCAAAACCCAGACCCAGGAUCUAAACCCAGACCAAGGAUCUAAACCCAGACCAAGGAUCUGAACCCAGACCAAGGACCUUCAACUCAGAACAAGGAUUUUAAACCCACAGCCAGGACCCUAAACAGACAUACAGGUCUUAAACCUAAACUUGACAUAGCAUCAAGAUGGUGACAGCUGUGCCUUGCUGUUUCUCAUUCCGGAUCAGACAGUCAACUGAGGCUAACAUGGAAGUGAGCCAAGCAUGGAGGACUGGAAGGAGAGAGGGAGGAAAACAGAGAAACAGAUACAGACAGAGACAGAGAGUGAGGAAGAAAACUAGAUGGAAGAAAGAUAGACAGGUUGAAAAAGUGAGAUGGAGAGAGAGAUAAAGAUAGGGGCGGUGAGAGCUAAGAGAAAGAAGUUGACCAUGGACAUUUAUUUAAAUGUAGUAAACUGCACAAUUAAAAAAGCUCCACACAAUCAC